rnacentral:rRNA from 1 species
GAUGAACGCUGGCGGCGUGCCUAAUACAUGCAAGCCGAACGAAACUUCUUUAUCACCGAGUGCUUGCACUCAUCGAUAAAGAGUUGAGUGGCGAACGGGUGAGUAACACGUGGGCAACCUGCCCAAAAGAGGGGGAUAACACUUGGAAACAGGUGCUAAUACCGCAUAACCAUAGUUACCGCAUGGUAACUAUGUAAAAGGUGGCUAUGCUACCGCUUUUGGAUGGGCCCGCGGCGCAUUAGCUAGUUGGUGGGGUAAAGGCUUACCAAGGCAAUGAUGCGUAGCCGAACUGAGAGGUUGAUCGGCCACAUUGGGACUGAGACACGGCCCAAACUCCUACGGGAGGCAGCAGUAGGGAAUCUUCCACAAUGGGCGAAAGCCUGAUGGAGCAACGCCGCGUGGGUGAAGAAGGUCUUCGGAUCGUAAAACCCUGUUGUUAGAGAAGAAAGUGCGUGAGAGUAACUGUUCACGUUUCGACGGUAUCUAACCAGAAAGCCACGGCUAACUACGUGCCAGCAGCCGCGGUAAUACGUAGGUGGCAAGCGUUAUCCGGAUUUAUUGGGCGUAAAGGGAACGCAGGCGGUCUUUUAAGUCUGAUGUGAAAGCCUUCGGCUUAACCGAAGUAGUGCAUUGGAAACUGGGGGACUUGAGUGCAGAAGAGGAGAGUGGAACUCCAUGUGUAGCGGUGAAAUGCGUAGAUAUAUGGAAGAACACCAGUGGCGAAAGCGGCUCUCUGGUCUGUAACUGACGCUGAGGUUCG